ensembl:lincRNA
CUUUUCCCUACCAUACUGCUUACUUACCUAUGUAUCAUUUUCUCUAAAAAAUAAUCAAAAGGAAAUCACUAAAAAUGUCUUUGAGGGGGAACUGGGUGGGAGACGGCUUUAAACAUCAUGACUUCUCUCGACAGUCUGCUCCUUCUUGUUUUCUAUUUCCCGGUUAUUCUUCCUGAGUACCGCCACUCAGAGCUUCUUCCUACCAAUCCAGAAAACCUCUGAAGUUGUGAAGCCGCAAGGACCUGUGGUAGCCAAGGGGCAGAUCUGUGUAGCAUAGGAUCUGGGUGUGAGACCAAAAGCCCAAGUCACUCAGCACUCACAGACUUGCCAAUAUGCCGGUCAUUUACUGGAUUUCCUUACAUACUUGAUUUGAUUUUCACAUUUGUGCGCUUUGCCGGUAUCAACACAUUGGUAGACCUGCUUUCCAUUCACUUGACUACCUUCAGUGUGAGAGAUCUUUCAGUCACUAAGGAAGAAAAUGAACCAUCAGGUUUGGAUCACAAUGCAUGAGGCAAAUCAUAGUUUGUCAGCUGAUUAUAAGGCACUUCUAAUGUGUGGGGCAAAGUAAGCAUGCUUUCACUUUUGUAUUGGGGAAAAAUAGUCAACAUCAAAGAAUGUUAAUUAUAUUGAUUAACUUCAAAACAAUGUGAAGAGAGGUAGUUUUAACUGUGUAUUUUCUCUCUGGUUGCCGUUUCAGCUACAAUAUGGCUAGGUUGUUCAGUGGUAACCAACUAUCCUCCAAAUCUGACCAGUUUUUUGACUUAAAUUUUUGUUUAUUUCUUAAACGACACUCCAUAUCCAGUGGGAGUUGGCAGGAGGCUCUGCUCCACAGCGUGCUCUAUUUGGGACCCCUGAAUUGCAAGAGUCUUCUUUUAGUACCUGACAGUCACCACACAAAGACAAGGACAAGGUUGAACCAUGACCUCUGUCUUCAACUUCGAUCAGGACAUCACUUCCAUCUCAGUGGCAAAUCUAACUUCAUUUCUUGCAGGAAUGCAAUUCCACCCCCGAGAGGAGAGGCAGCAAAAAUGAGUUGUCUUGGACCUCUGACCUCACUUGAAGAUGCCUUUCUUUUGGAUCUGCCCUAUAUAUUGACCCACAAGUUCAAGACCUGAGAGAUAUCUGCAGGCUCUUUUAUAGCAGAAUGAUGGGACUCCUGCAAUGGGGGAAUUUGCAAAAAGCAAUGACUUCAGACACGGUGCACUUCACUGAAAUGUGAAGGUAAGUGUUUGGAGACUCUGCUUUCUUAGCAUCGAGUCUUUGCUUCAUCGUACAGCCUCACACCUCCUCUUGGGCCUAAACACAGUGAAGCCUCCUUUCCACCUGCAGUGCUCCCUUCGCCACUGGAGGAUUAGCGAUGCCAAUAAAAUACCUAGGCUCUUUGGCAGUGACUUACACAGAUGUGCAUGUUUCUAAUUACAGGAAAUUGUUAGAACAUGACUUGGACUAGAUAUACACAACUCAGAAUCCAGGAAGAAACAGUGCUUUGUUUUCCAAAAGAAGAAAAUAAGAGCUUCAUUUUAAUCAUUUCCCUUCCUUUCUCUCUCUUUUUGUUUGAUUUCCAUGCAUGGGCAAUAUCUUAAACUGGCAGUACAAGAAGUUCUUGCAAAUGAUGGAACCAUUUCUUCCCUGACAUCGGACAUACUUCGUCUGUUACCUAAUUUACCAUCUAUCCACGUCCUCGCUACAAUUUCUUAUUCAGAAUUCUGUGACCUGCCAUUGUUUUGGGAUGAGAC